rnacentral:rRNA from 1 species
UACGAAGGGGGCUAGCGUUGUUCGGAGUUACUGGGCGUAAAGAGCGUGUAGGCGGCCAUGUAGGUCCGUUGUGAAAACUCGAGGCUCAACCUCGAGACGCCGAUGGAAACCAUGUGGCUAGAGUCCGGAAGAGGAGAGUGGAAUUCCUGGUGUAGCGGUGAAAUGCGCAGAUAUCAGGAAGAACACCCGUGGCUAAGGCGGCUCUCUAGUACGGUACUGACGCUGAGACGCGAAAGCGUGGGGAGCGAACAGG